UGAGCACUUUAACAGGUCUUGGUUUUGUGUAGUAGGCCAUGAUUUGGUAGCUGGUGCUCAAAGGAAAACUCCCUAUUGCAAAAACCACAGGCUGAAUGUGCCUCACUGGACAUGAAUAGGGAGGGCAUAU
ensembl:snoRNA